CAGUCGCCACGGUAAUACGUAGGGUGCAAGCGUUAAUCGGAAUUACUGGGCGUAAAGCGUGCGCAGGCGGUUAUAUAAGUCAGAUGUGAAAUCCCCGGGCUCAACCUGGGAACUGCAUUUGAGACUGUAUGGCUAGAGUGUGUCAGAGGGGGGUAGAAUUCCACGUGUAGCAGUGAAAUGCGUAGAUAUGUGGAGGAAUACCGAUGGCGAAGGCAGCCCCCUGGGAUAACACUGACGCUCAUGCACGAAAGCGUGGGGAGCAAACAGGAUUAGAUACCCCAGUAGUCCCUGUCUCUUAUAA
rnacentral:rRNA from 1 species